ACUAUUCAUUACUAUUCAUAAUUACUGUUCAUUACUGUAGCUAAUUACUGUAGCAUAUGCACUGUGUAGUACUAUAGUAGAAAUAUUGUGCAGUACUGUUGCGCACUGUAGCAUGAUGGUAAACAACCAGAAUGCUACCGAGGCUGUGAAGUAAACAACAGAUCAGUCUCUUAAGGAUAAACAACCCUAAGAUUGGUAA
rnacentral:lncRNA from 1 species